UUAAGUUCAGCGGGUAUUCCUACCUGAUCCGAGGUCAACCUUGAAAGUGUCGCAGGGCGACGAUUUCUGGCGUGGCCGCGCCGCGUCCCAGAGCGAGUGUUGCUACUACGCAGAGGAAGCCGCGGCGUGACCGCCAAUCGAUUUCGGAGCCGGCCGCCGGAGCGGGGCCGGUCUCCAACGCCAAGCCGGGGAGCUUGAGG
rnacentral:misc_RNA from 1 species